rnacentral:rRNA from 1 species
CCUACGGGAGGCAGCAGUGGGGAAUAUUGGACAAUGGGGGCAACCCUGAUCCAGCCAUGCCGCGUGUGUGAAGAAGGCCCUCGGGUUGUAAAGCGCUUUCAGUGAGGAAGAACGCCUGGUGGUUAAUACCCAUCAGGAAAGACAUCACUCACAGAAGAAGCACCGGCUAACUCCGUGCCAGCAGCCGCGGUAAUACGGAGGGUGCGAGCGUUAAUCGGAAUUACUGGGCGUAAAGCGCGCGUAGGUGGCUUGAUAAGCCGGUUGUGAAAGCCCCGGGCUCAACCUGGGAACGGCAUCCGGAACUGUCAAGCUAGAGUGCAGGAGAGGAAGGUAGAAUUCCCGGUGUAGCGGUGAAAUGCGUAGAGAUCGGGAGGAAUACCAGUGGCGAAGGCGGCCUUCUGGACUGACACUGACACUGAGGUGCGAAAGCGUGGGUAGCAAACAGGAUUAGAUACCCUGGUAGUC